AAGAAUUGUUAGAAGAAAUCAUGAAGACAAUUGCUGGGUUUGAAUUGAUGCUUGCAGCUUCUGGAGACAUUUGUCUUGAGUGAAAGCAUCAGGUGCAAAGGAAUGGUGAUUAGGCAAGAAUCCUAAACAGGAGAAACCCAAGUCCGUUCUGAGGUGCGCUGUGCAUGGAGGCUGCUGGGCAGCACCAGUCAUGCGGUAGUGUACAACAGACCUUCAACACCAUCAGCUUAUAAUGAUCACCCGCCCGCUCUGUGCCCAGCCUGGAACCACGGCCGGAGCAAGCCCAGCUGUGAGCAUUCAGUGUCUUACCCAGAUGCCAGGAGCCUGUGUGUCUCGGGUCGGUGUCUCUCUCCGCCACUUCCUGGCCAGGCU
rnacentral:lncRNA from 1 species